rnacentral:rRNA from 1 species
UACAGAGGGGGCAAGCGUUGUUCGGAAUUACUGGGCGUAAAGGGCGCGUAGGCGGCCUGUUAAGUCGAACGUGAAAUCCCCGGGCUCAACCCGGGAACUGCGUCCGAUACUGGCAGGCUUGAAUCCGGGAGAGGGAUGCGGAAUUCCAGGUGUAGCGGUGAAAUGCGUAGAUAUCUGGAGGAACACCGGUGGCGAAGGCGGGUCUCUGGGCCGGUACCGACGCUGAGGAGCGAAAGCGUGGGGAGCGAACAGG